UACGUAGGGUGCAAGCGUUGUCCGGAAUUAUUGGGCGUAAAGAGCUCGUAGGCGGUCUGUUACGUCGGCUGUGAAAACCUGGGGCUCAACUCCGGGCCUGCAGCCGAUACGGGCAGACUAGAGUUCGGCAGGGGAGACUGGAAUUCCUGGUGUAGCGGUGAAAUGCGCAGAUAUCAGGAGGAACACCGGUGGCGAAGGCGGGUCUCUGGGCCGUAACUGACGCUGAGGAGCGAAAGCGUGGGGAGCGAACAGG
rnacentral:rRNA from 1 species